rnacentral:tRNA from 1 species
GGAGGGCUAGACCUAACUGGCAAGGCGGCGGUCUUGAAAACCGCUGGGCUUCGGCCCGUGGGGGUUCGACUCCCCCGCCCUCCG